CCUACGGGAGGCAGCAGUGGGGAAUAUUGGGCAAUGGGCGAAAGCCUGAUCCAGCAACGCCGCGUGAAGGAAGAAGUCUUUCGGGUUGUAAACUUCUUUUGACAGGGAAGAGCAGAAGACGGUACCUGACGAAUAAGCACCGGCUAACUACGUGCCAGCAGCCGCGGUAAUACGUAGGGGGCAAGCGUUGUCCGGAUUUACUGGGUGUAAAGGGCGUGUAGGCGGGCUGACAAGCCAGAUGUGAAAGCCGGGGGCUCAACCCCCGAACUGCAUUUGAAACUGUUGGUCUGGAGUGUCGGAGAGGUAGGCGGAAUUCCUAGUGUAGCGGUGAAAUGCGUAGAUAUUAGGAGGAACACCAGUGGCGAAGGCGGCCUGCUGGACGACAACUGACGGUGAGGCGCGAAAGCGUGGGGAGCAAACAGGAUUAGAUACCCGUGUAGUC
rnacentral:rRNA from 1 species